CGUCCCCAAGCCCGGGGUAGGUCCCAUCCAGCUGCGCUGUCUCACACAGCCUGUGGGGAAGCACAGCUGUCAGGGCUGGAUUUUCAGGAUUAGUUUGGUUGAAGAUGCCGAAACCCAGCUCCCGUGGCUGAUACCAAAGGGGGCAUUCCCAGUGGGAAGCAGCAGGGCCUCCAGGAAGCAGGAGGCAGAAUCAGAGACCCCCAGGGCUGGGCUCCUCGCCUCUGCAUCGGUUCCUACCACAGGCUGAAAACAAAUUGUUGCAAGUCACAUCCUCAGCCGCCACAGAGGGAUCGACUUUCUCACUGCGGCAUCAGUGACAAGUCAGAUGUCCGUCACUGUGCCCAAAGGCACAGGGGCCCUGCCUGGUCCUGCUCUGGUGAGGUGCCCAUCCUUAUGCACCAAGAAAUUGUGGUCAGGGGAGGCAGCAGGACGAGGUAUGCCCAUGGCCACCCAUGGAACAACUGGCAUGGACUUCCCCACCUCUGAGGCCCAUAAAAGCCCUGGGCUCAGCCAGAGCUGAGCAGACAUUGAGACAACCAGCUGCAGAGAGGAGCUACCCACUCCAGGGCCUCCUCUCUCCUGAGAGCUGCAGAGAAUGACAGGACGACCUGCCUGCAGAGAGGAGCUACCCACUCCAGGGCAUCCUCUGAGCUAUUCUGUCAAUCAAUAAAGCUCCUCUUCACCUUGCUCACCCUCCACUUGUCCAUGCAUCUCAUUCAUCUUGGACGCAGGACAAGAACUCAGGACCUGCCAAAUGACAGGGCUGAAAGAGCUAUAACACAAACAGGGCUGAAACAUGCCCCUUGCUCAUCAUGUUGCAGGUGAAGAGAAGGAGAGAAGAGCUGUGACCCUUCAGGGAGCGCAGACCUGGGAGCUCCCCAAGCCUGGGCUGUGACUCCCUCUUUGGGGCCCUGCAGUUCCUGGAGUCUCCAAGCUUCUGGGUGCCACUGUGUUCUCCAGUGGCCGCCAUGGAAGCUGCUUGCGGUGUACUUGGUCCAGCUGCAGCCUUGCAGAGAGGUACCUGGAGCUCCCUGCCCCGUUGCAGCAGCCAGCGUGCCUGACUGUGCACAGUGGCCAGACCCCACACUCACUCACUCACACACCCCUCACUGCUCCAUGCCUUGCUCACCCUUGGCAGGCAUGGGAUCCAGGCUGGAAGCGUGAGCCAAGCCGAGCCUGCCAGGCCAAGUGGGCAGAACAAGCCCAGAGGGCCCGAGCAAAACUUGGGCAAAGGAGCCACCAGCCACAGAGGUUUCCAACCAGAAAAGAGACACCCCAAGGAUUCUGCAACUGUGUGGACAGGUCAGACAAAACCUGGCCUGGAAAACCCUUCAACUCAGCCAUUCCACUUUUGGGUAUCAACACUAGAGAAAAACUCCAGUGUGCACACAGUGAAACAUGCAUAGAGGUACUUAUUGCAGUACUUUUUAUAGAGAGGAAAAAAUGAAAGGAACCUAAAUAUUUAACAAUGGGGAAAUCAUUUUUUAAAAGAUGACACGUCGAUGCCAUGGAAAUGAUACAUGGCCUCAUUAAAAAGAAUGACGUAGUUAUUGGCCAGGCACGGUGGCUCACGCCUGUAAUCUCAACACUUUGAGAGGCUGAACCAGGCAGAUCACUUGAGGUCAGGAGGUCGAGACCAGCCUGGCCAACAUGGCGAAACCCUGUCUCUACUAAAAGUGUAAAAAUUAGCCAGGUAUGGUUGCUAGUGCCUGUAAUCCCAGCUACUCAGGAGGCUGAGGCAAGAGAAUCACUUGAACCCCAGGAGGCAGAGAUUGCAGUGAGCCGAGAUUGCACCACUGCACUCCAGCCUGGGAGACAAGAGCAAGACUCCAACUCAAAAAAAAAAAAGAAAAAAAAAAAGAAGAAGAAGAAGAAGAGGAGUGGAGUAGCUCUAUAUGUACUGACAUGGAAAUAUUUCUAGGAUUAGGAUGUUACUAAUGUAAAAACAAAAGGCAGAUGCACAAAAAUACAUAUUGCAUGAUAUUAUGUUUUUUAAAAUACCCAUAAUAAAAAUGUAUACGUAUGUACACAUAUAAAUGCAUAGGAAUUGGGUCUAUAAGGAUUAUAUGCCACCCUGAUAACAAUGGCUAUUAUGGGGAAGGGAUUCAAAUAUGGAGGAGGGUAGCUCAGGCAAGUUUUUAUCUAAAUUGUUUGACUAUAUGACAAAAAGAAUAUAUGCAUCUAGCACUUGAAUAAUCAAAAUUAGGAUUUGAAAAAAAGUCAGGGGAUUAUGUGUAUUGCAGCAUUGCCAGUAAUAGCAGAAAGCUGAAAAACAACCUAAACAUCCACUGGGAAGGAACCAGCUAAAUAAAUACUGGUGCCUCUGACAAAAGAUUACGAGGCAGCCACUGAAUAAAUAGGACAGAUCCAAAUAGGAAAAUACUCUCAAAUGAAAAAGCAAGCUGCAAAUGAUGCUUAGGGUAUGAUCUCAUGUUUGUGAAGGAAAGACAAGUUAUUAUAUGCUUAGGAAAAAACAACAGAUGCCAAACCACUGUGGCGGCAGAGGCGGGAUGGAUGAACCCUUGAAGACUCACAGAGCCAGGUUCAGUCCCUGCUCUGGAACCAGCUGGGUGGCCUUGGGGGUCACUCUAAUAUUCUGAGCCUCCAUUACCUGUCCUUUAAAACAGGACAAUGGCAGAAUCUACCUUGCAGUGUUGAUGACAGGACUGAAGGAUCUAGUGAAUCUGAAGGGGUCUACCCAUGGGCAUGAUUCAGCGAGCUCACUCUAAUUAAUAUCUGC
rnacentral:lncRNA from 10 species